CGACUCGCACUUGGCCGCUUUUUUAGUUUUAUCAUUCUCUUAUUUUAGAAGUUACAGGGGGGGGGGGACACACAUUUUACCACUUUGGAAGCGACUCUCGCGCAAACUAUUCAGUUUAGAAAAAAAUUAUAUUAGAAACUUCAAUAUCAUUUUUGAAGACCUAUCCAUAGAUACCCCACACGUAUGGGUUUGAUGAAAAUUUUUUUUUGAGUUUCAUUUGUAAACGUAUAAAAAAAAAACUACUUACUAGAUCUCAUUCAAACCAAUUUUCGGUGGAAGUUUACAUGGUAAUGUACAUCAUAUAUUUUUUUUAGUUUUAUCAUUCUCUUAUUUUAGAAGUUACAGGGGGGGGGACACCCAUUUUACCACUUUGGAAGUGUCUCUCGCGCAAACUAUUCAGUUUAGAAAAAAAUGAUAUUAGAAACCUCAAUAUCACUUUUGAAGAGCUAUCCAUAGAUACCCCACACGUAUGGGUUUGAUGAAAAAAAAAUUUUUGAGUUUCAGUUCGAAGUA